GAAUCAACGCUGGCGGCGUGCCUCAGACAUGCAAGUCGAACGAUUAAAGCUCUCUUCGGAGAGUGUAUAGAGUGGCGCACGGGUGAGUAACACGUAAGGUAAUCUACCUUCGAGUGGGGAAUAACGUCCGGAAACGACGCUAAUACCGCAUAAUGCAGCGGCAUCGCAAGAUGACAGUUGUUAAAGAUUUAUCGCUUGAAGAGGAGCUUGCGGCAGAUAGCUAGUUGGUAAGGUAAUGGCUUACCAAGGCUACGAUCUGUAACCGGUCUAAGA
rnacentral:rRNA from 1 species